UUUGGUUAAGUUAGAAAGGGCGCACGGUGGAUGCCUUGACACUAGGAGUCGAUGAAGGACGGGACUAACGCCGAUAUGCUUCGGGGAGCUGUAAGUAAGCUUUGAUCCGAAGAUUUCCGAAUGGGGAAACCCACCAUACGUAAUGGUAUGGUAUCCUUAUCUGAAUACAUAGGGUAAGGAAGACAGACCCAGGGAACUGAAACAUCUAAGUACCUGGAGGAAGAGAAAGCAAAUGCGAUUUCCUGAGUAGCGGCGAGCGAAACGGAACAUAGCCCAAACCAAGAGGCUUGCCUCUUGGGGUUGUAGGACAUUCUAUACGGAGUUACAAAGGAACGAGGUAGACGAAGCGACCUGGAAAGGUCCGUCGUAGAGGGUAACAACCCCGUAGUCGAAACUUCGUUCUCUCUUGAAUGUAUCCUGAGUACGGCGGAACACGUGAAAUUCCGUCGGAAUCUGGGAGGACCAUCUCCCAAGGCUAAAUACUCCCUAGUGAUCGAUAGUGAACCAGUACCGUGAGGGAAAGGUGAAAAGCACCCCGGAAGGGGAGUGAAAGAGAUCCUGAAACCGUGUGCCUACAAAUAGUCAGAGCCCGUUAACGGGUGAUGGCGUGCCUUUUGUAGAAUGAACCGGCGAGUUACGAUCCCGUGCGAGGUUAAGCUGAAGAGGCGGAGCCGCAGCGAAAGCGAGUCUGAAUAGGGCGUUUAGUACGUGGUCGUAGACCCGAAACCAGGUGAUCUACCCAUGUCCAGGGUGAAGUUCAGGUAACACUGAAUGGAGGCCCGAACCCACGCACGUUGAAAAGUGCGGGGAUGAGGUGUGGGUAGCGGAGAAAUUCCAAUCGAACCUGGAGAUAGCUGGUUCUCCCCGAAAUAGCUUUAGGGCUAGCCUUAAGUGUAAGAGUCUUGGAGGUAGAGCACUGAUUGGACUAGGGGUCCUCAUCGGAUUACCGAAUUCAGUCAAACUCCGAAUGCCAAUGACUUAUCCUUAGGAGUCAGACUGCGAGUGAUAAGAUCCGUAGUCAAAAGGGAAACAGCCCAGACCGCCAGCUAAGGUCCCAAAGUGUGUAUUAAGUGGAAAAGGAUGUGGAGUUGCUUAGACAACUAGGAUGUUGGCUUAGAAGCAGCCACCAUUUAAAGAGUGCGUAAUAGCUCACUAGUCGAGUGACUCUGCGCCGAAAAUGUACCGGGGCUAAAUACACCACCGAAGCUGCGGAUUGAUACCAAUGGUAUCAGUGGUAGGGGAGCGUUCUAAGGACAGUGAAGUCAGACCGUAAGGACUGGUGGAGUGCUUAGAAGUGAGAAUGCCGGUAUGAGUAGCGAAAGACGGGUGAGAAUCCCGUCCACCGAAUGCCUAAGGUUUCCUGAGGAAGGCUCGUCCGCUCAGGGUUAGUCAGGACCUAAGCCGAGGCCGACAGGCGUAGGCGAUGGACAACAGGUUGAUAUUCCUGUACCACCUCUUUAUCGUUUGAGCAAUGGAGGGACGCAGAAGGAUAGAAGAAGCGUGCGAUUGGUUGUGCACGUCCAAGCAGUUAGGCUGAUAAGUAGGCAAAUCCGCUUAUC
rnacentral:rRNA from 1 species